rnacentral:rRNA from 1 species
AGUGAACGCUGGCGGUAGGCCUAACACAUGCAAGUCGAACGGCAGCACAGUAGAGCUUGCUCUUACGGGUGGCGAGUGGCGGACGGGCGAGGAAUACAUCGGAAUCUACUUUUUCGUGGGGGAUAACGUAGGGAAACUUACGCUAAUACCGCAUACGACCUACGGGUGAAAGCAGGGGAUCUUCGGACCUUGCGCGAUUGAAUGAGCCGAUGUCGGAUUAGCUAGUUGGCGGGGUAAAGGCCCACCAAGGCGACGAUCCGUAGCUGGUCUGAGAGGAUGAUCAGCCACACUGGAACUGAGACACGGUCCAGACUCCUACGGGAGGCAGCAGUGGGGAAUAUUGGACAAUGGGCGCAAGCCUGAUCCAGCCAUACCGCGUGGGUGAAGAAGGCCUUCGGGUUGUAAAGCCCUUUUGUUGGGAAAGAAAAGCAGCAGGUUAAUACCCCGCUGUUCUGACGGUACCCAAAGAAUAAGCACCGGCUAACUUCGUG